rnacentral:rRNA from 1 species
AAUCAACGCUGGCGGCGUGCCUAACACAUGCAAGUCGAACGCGAAAAGGGGGCAACCCUGAGUAGAGUGGCGUCCGGGUGAGUAACACGUGGAUAAUCUGCCUGCGGGCGGGGAAUAACUUUCCGAAGGGGAGCUAUACCGCAUAACACCGUAAUAGGGCAUCCUGAUACGGUCAAAGAGGGGGAUCGCAAGACCUCUCGCCUGCAGAGGAGUCCGCGGCCGAUUAGCUAGUUGGCGAGGUAACGGCUCACCAAGGCAGCGAUCGGUAGCCGGCCUGAGAGGGCGAACGGCCACACUGGCACUGAAUACGGGCCAGACUCCUACGGGAGGCAGCAGUGGGG